AUGAACGCUGGCGGCGUGCCUAAUACCUGCCAGUCGCGCGAACAGACGAGGAGCUUGCUCCUCUGACGUUAGCGGCGGCCGGGUGAGUAACACGUGGAUAACCUACCUAUAAGACUGGGAUAACUUCGGGAAACCGGAGCUAAUACCGGAUAAUAUAUUGAACCGCAUGGUUCAAUAGUGAAAGACGGUUUUGCUGUCACUUAUAGAUGGAUCCGCGCCGCAUUAGCUAGUUGGUAAGGUAACGGCUUACCAAGGCGACGAUGCGUAGCCGGCCUGAGUGGGUGAUCGGCCACACUGGAACUGAGACACGGUCCGAACUCCUACGGGAGGCAGCAGUAGGGAAUCUUCCGCAAUGGGCGAAAGCCUGACGGAGCAACGCCGCGUGAGUGAUGAAGGUCUUCGGAUCGUAAAACUCUGUUAUUAGGGAAGAACAAAUGUGUAAGUAACUAUGCACGUCUUGACGGUACCUAAUCAGAAAGCCACGGCUAACUACGUG
rnacentral:rRNA from 1 species